CNAGUCAUUGAGAAUGUUAAACUCAAAGGCGUAAUGAAAGUGAAGAUCCAAUUUUAUGGAUUUGAGGAGAGAUCAUAUCUUUUGUUUAGUAUUCCGUAAGGUUUAUUAAAAAAAGUAUGCGCAUCUCCUGGACGUCUUAACCUUCGAAGGUGGGGCGUACCUAGAGCAUACACGUUGGGACCCGAAAGAUGGUGAACUAUGCCUGGUCAGAACGAAGUCAGGGGAAACCCUGAUGGAGGUUCGUAGCGAUUCUGACGUGCAAAUCGAUCGUCGGAACUGGGUAUAGGGGCGAAAGACUAAUCGAACCAUCUAG
rnacentral:rRNA from 1 species